rnacentral:lncRNA from 1 species
UACCCAACGAGCCACCCCACCCAACCCAACCAAUUGCGGCAUUGCACCAUGGGAUACCCACUCCCCACCUUCCAAUGCAGCGAUGUGAAUAUCAAGAAAUUUUUUGAGAUACCGGGAACUCUUGCUGACUUGGAGUUCCACCAAUAAGGUCUUGACAUUUAUGCAUUUAAGUUGGAAUUUACACCAACAGUUUGACCCACUAUUAAAGCAAUUAAAAAACUUAAUAUUUAAUUAACAAGCAUGUCCUGACUAAAGGGUCACCAGCACCUGUGCCAAAAUGUUUGUCCUCCACCCAACAACCAUGUCAAGCCAACCACCAUGAACACCCAUGGAAGCUCCAGCCUCCAUCACACAACUAAAAUCUCAAUUUGGCACCAUCAUCUUCUUCUAUCAUGU